GAUCCUGGCUCAGGAUGAACGCUAGCUACAGGCUUAACACAUGCAAGUCGAGGGGCAGCAUGGUCUUAGCUUGCUAAGGCCGAUGGCGACCGGCGCACGGGUGAGUAACACGUAUCCAACCUGCCGUCUACUCUUGGACAGCCCUCUGAAAGGAAGAUUAAUACAAGAUGGCAUCAUGAGUCCGCAUGUUCACAUGAAUUAAAGGUAUUCCGGUAGACGAGUGGGGA
rnacentral:rRNA from 1 species